ACAGAAUUCUUUAUUUACAAUUCAAUUUGAUUCAACAUCAAAUAGCAUCAGCAAAGCCAUAUUAUAGUUGACAACUUGCAUAACUGUAUUUAAAUUUCUCUCGGUAUAUCUAACUUUGCAUAAAAGGCUCACACUAAGAUUACACACAUCGAUGCGGAUGAACAGAGAUGUUUGUGACCACAACUGGGGGGGGUAGGGGGGGGGGAAUACAUCUCAGGAGCGCAACACUGUAAGCUUUCUCCAAAAAGUCCUUAUAAAUUACAUAUUGCUUCGAUUUCCCAUUGCAUCAUUCAUAACUGAGGGGGCAAAAUCAAGACUGUACAAAUAAUAAAACCCACAACUGAUCACAAACAAAACAUGGAAAAUGAGCAAUAUUGAGACUGAGAGCGAGAGUGCAGGUGUGUGAGGGAAUAAAGAGAGAAAGAGAGACAGGUAGGCCUAUGUAGGUAUCCAGCAAUAGAGGAGCAGUAAUGAACUGGGUCGAUCCUGUCAAUGGUUCACUAUACAAAUAUAAUACAGACAACUUUUGUAAUAUACAAGACAGUAAAACAGAUCUAAGGCAAUAUGCUAAGUUUUAGCAUUUCAAGGUUGUUACAUUUAGCUCUAAGAAAUUGGCAGACUAUACAAAAAGACAUUUAAAGUCUCAGAAAAAAACCCCAAAAGGUAAGGUAAAGACAAUUUUAGGAAAUUCAAUAGCCGUUACAAUUCCAUUGAUUGAUUGAUUGAUUUAUUUUAGGACAAAUGGCUCUUUUUGCACUUGCACUGGUAAAAAGACUAGAAAACUCUGCACCACCUUCACAUCAUGGCUUAUAUUCAUUUCAAAAUCUUGACAAUCUUUGGACUUUGCAGAGGGUAGUGGUACAGGUGCGACCUCAAAACUGGCUAUUCUCCAAUAUGAUAGAUGCGUCUGGAUGUCAGUCCUUGUUCAAGGCAUCCAACAUUCAUCAAAAUUGUGAUCAAAAAAGCUCGGAAUAAAUGAGUGCUCGAUUUAGUCGACAAAACGCUAGCACUGGAAUCGAUUAUUAGGCUAAAUCGAGUUUUUAACCCACGUGAGAAUGCAGGCGAUUCUCAAAGGAUACAGAAAGUUUUGAAUGGUGGGCAGAGUGACGAUUCACCCAAACAAUGUGAAAUCAAAUUCGUAUUUACAGUGUUCAAAAGGAAAAGCUAAAGCUAUACCAAAACACCAGGUAUAUUCGUACACAACCACGACACCUUCAGCGCAUAAUGACAGAGCUGGUCGUCGCAAACCUCAGUUGCUGCUGGUACACACAGUAUAUACUUAAUAAAAACAUGUAGUAGCCUACUUUCUUGUUUUUUAAUACACCAGCUUAAACACAGAUGACAUGGCGAUAUUUUCAGCGAAAGCUAAAGGCCGACAAUCUAACCCCGAUACAAACUGUGUGCAGACAUGAGACAAAAACAAAAUGAAAGUGUUAACUUAUGCGUAAGUCUACCGAUCAAUUAAAAGGCAAGGAAAUUUGGCUUCGUCCUCAACUAGGCAACGAAAAACGUCCGAAAACUCGAACUGUAUUGCGUAGCCUACAUUACAGCGUUAAGUUCACGUGCCUGUAGUGAUCCAAAUCUGAACCGUUGAUCCGGCUUUUCAAGAUGGCGAAAAUUAAGUGUGAAUGUAGGAAUAGGAUAGCCACGCAAAACUAAAUGAUAAAUGCUGCUUUUUUAUUUAUUCAUUUAUAUUUUUUGGCUACACCAGAACUUAAACCUGCUUUUCACUGAGGAACAAGUAGGCUAGUUUUAGACAUCUCGUUGUUGUUUUUCUCAAAAUAGAGAUCACAAUAAAAAAAUCUGUCUUUAAUACUGAGUUUGUUUGAACCGGGGAGCAAAAAUGUGUCUCCUGAAAAGUCCUGUACAAAAAUUACAAAACAAAACAAAAUAAAAUCUCAAGUUACAUUGGAUUUAAAUUUAUUGCUUGUUGUCUUUUCUUACACACACCUUGUACCGAUCGCAUCUGGCAUGAAGCACGUCACUCCACACAGCAAAGCAAGCACGCUUCAGUGUUGAGUUUAUGGCUGUGUUGGGUUCCUCCGGUGGGGCUCCCGGCUAAAGGCUUAGAAGCAAGUGAGUAUCUGUACACUGUACACACAGGACCCUCCCAGACCCCCACCCAGGAAAGAAGGACCACCUCACCCCAGCUCCCCUUCCUUAGUAGGCUACCAUAGGAAUCAGCACAUCCUCCUCUUCCCGCCAAACGAACAUGCUCGUCGUGAGAAACUCCGUUCCAGAAACAGUUAAGACUGGACUUUGAUGGGAGGAAGGGGAAAUACAUUGAAAAACAAAAUAAAAAAAUAAAUAUAAUAUGAAACAGAUUCCCCCCUUCCCAUUAUUGGUAUUUACAAUCUACCAGCAUUUCAUUUUACCAACCACAAAAAUCACAUUCUUUCUGAAACUACUGGACCAAGGAAAACAAAAUCCAUAGGUAUGUUGAACGUUUUUCUUAUUCUGCGGCAAUUCAUAUGCACUCUGAGUGAUUUUUCUCUUUCUAACCGAUGCUUUAUAAAGAAAUCUACAAUGUCACUUUAAAAAGAAACUAUACAUUAGAAUAAAACUUAAUUUAAUACACAAUAAACCUCUUGACUAAAUUAAGUCUAGUUUUACAAACCAUCAUCUGAAUUCUCAUAAUCUAUAUGUAGAUGCCAUUUCAACAUCAUUCUAUCUUUAUUUGCACUCUGAAACAAAACAAAAAAGAAAACAAAGGCAAAAUGGCAGAAUUUUGAGCGUGGAUUUCAAAUGCAGUCUUCUUGCCUGUUUUGGAACGUCAGAUUGGAAAGGAGUCGGAGAGAAAGAUGGUUGGG